AACGAACGCUGGCGGCAUGCCUAACACAUGCAAGUCGAACGAGAUCUUCGGGUCUAGUGGCGCACGGGUGCGUAACGCGUGGGAAUCUGCCCUUUGGUUCGGAAUAACAGUUGGAAACGACUGCUAAUACCGGAUGAUGACGAAAGUCCAAAGAUUUAUCGCCAGAGGAUGAGCCCGCGUAGGAUUAGCUAGUUGGUGUGGUAAAGGCGCACCAAGGCGACGAUCCUUAGCUGGUCUGAGAGGAUGAUCAGCCACACUGGGACUGAGACACGGCCCAGACUCCUACGGAAGGCAGCAGUGGGGAAUAUUGGACAAUGGGCGAAAGCCUGAUCCAGCAAUGCCGCGUGAGUGACGAAGGCCUUAGGGUUGUAAAGCUCUUUUACCCGGGAUGAUAAUGACAGUACCGGGAGAAUAAGCUCCGGCUAACUCCGUGCCAGCAGCCGCCGUAA
rnacentral:rRNA from 1 species